GAGAGGUUAGUUUAAACAAAAUAUUAUUUUGUCAAAAUAAAGUUAAUCAAAGAUUACCACUCA
rnacentral:tRNA from 1 species